GACGAACCGUGCGAACGUUGUUCGGAAUCACUGGGCGUAAAGAGCGUGUAGGCGGCCAGAUAAGUCCGCUGUGAAAUCUCGAGGCUCAACUUCGAGCUGUCGGUGGAAACUAUCUGGCUAGAGUCCGGAAGAGGAGAAUGGAAUUCCUGGUGUAGCGGUGAAAUGCGCAGAUAUCAGGAAGAACACCCGUGGCGAAGGCGGUUCUCUGGGACGGUACUGACGCUGAGACGCGAAAGCGUGGGGAGCGAACAGG
rnacentral:rRNA from 1 species